GCUAGCUAACACUAUACAUGGCGUUAGCACGUGGCUAACUAGCUAGCUAACACUAUACAUGGCGUUAGCACGUGGCUAACUAGCUAGCUAACACUAUACACGGCGUUAGCACGUAGCUGACGAGCUAACGUUAGUUAAAACUCCCGGUGUAAAAAUUAAAAAAUGUUCUUGUGACUUAUGGAUAGUGGAAUAAGUAUUACUGGUACUGUGGUGUUUACUGUGCUAUUGUGCUGUGUGUUAUUGCUUACUGUGCUGUAUUUUCUCGUUUUGGUAAAGCUAAACUGACCUGUGUAAUAAUGAAGCAACUUAAAUAAUGUUUUGUCAGGUAUUUUAUUUCUUAGGCAUAGUGCACACACGUCUGGGCAUCACACACAGAAGUACAUCAAGAAGUCACUUCCUUGCAAUUCCAAAGCACUGAUAAUCAAAUGACCAAACCCAUGAGCCAAUGGGUUAAACACGACCUGCAGGUGCACACUUUUUCUCAAGAUGGCGCCACGGUGCUUCGGUGCGCUUCGUUUCCAUCUGGCAGGAGGCUGAGGUCCAUCAGGACUACGACGUCCCGCCACACCAACAGUUUCUUCCCGUCGGCAGUCGGGCUCAUGAACAGAGCCGGUCCCCCACUGACUACAACAUUCCACCGGUCACUCCCUUCAUACUGCACAUGCCACUUUACUGUCAUUUCUCACUCGUCACUUUGUUACUUGUUCGUUAGUGCACUUUAUGCUUAAUAUUUUUAAACUUUUAAAAUAUUUUUAAUUUUUAUCUCUAACUUUAUUCUCUUGUGUUACACUAACCCAUAUCCUUAUUCUACUAACCCAUUGCAUUAGCAUUUUAUUUUACUUAAUUGU
ensembl:lncRNA